UGGGGAAUAUUGCACAAUGGGCGCAAGCCUGAUGCAGCGACGCCGCGUGGGGGAUGACGGCCUUCGGGUUGUAAACCUCUUUCAGUAGGGACGAAGCGUAAGUGACGGUACCUAUAGAAGAAGCACCGGCCAACUACGUG
rnacentral:rRNA from 1 species